CUGAAAACUAUGCCAGGGGUGGGGUCCUCCUUUACUUCCUGGUUCACAGAAAACCAGGAUCCCAAGCUUCCCCAUGCACCUCAAGCCACUUUGACAGUCUAGGACAAGGGCCAAAGAUCAGAAGUCUAUGAUCAAUAACAAGAAGGUCCGAACAGGAGCUGCAUAGUUGUUCCAAUAAGUUUCCCUGCCUACUAGCCAAGCUUUUAAGCAGAAGAUGCAGAAAUACUCACAACUGUCCGUCUCCUGGCCUGAAGGUACCUGUCACUACUAAUCUAAAUCCAAGUACUCUGAGGGCAUUGUUACAUUGAGGAACUUAAGAACAGCCCUGCCAGAUACCUAUU